AAACCAUGUUAUGGGUAUGAAUUGACAAGAUCCUUGAACCACUCCCAACAUUGGAAGAAUGUUUUAUCUUCCUUUUGGGCAAAGUUCAUGAUUGAUUUUCUAAGGUU